UGGCUGAGCAGUAAAGCGCUUGGCUUCCAAACUGGUGGUCCCAGGUUCAAAUCCUGG
rnacentral:tRNA from 1 species